AUGGCCGGCAAUGGAGCUACCACCAGGAGGCAGCUCACCCUGUUUCCGCUCCACCUGGCCAUCAUCCUCCUUCUCGGCGUAGGGGCGGAGGCGGCGACGUCCUUCAGCUUCACUAACGCGUGCGCGCACCCGGUGUGGGUGGGCGCGCUCAGCGGCGCCACCUCGCCGCAGCUGCCCCGCACCGGCUUCUACCUCGCCCCGGGCGCGACCUCCGCGCUGGCCGCUCCGUCCUCCGGCGCCUGGUCCGGCAACUUCUGGGCGCGCACAGGCUGCGCCGUCGACGACGCCACCGGCCGCCUCGCAUGCGCCACCGCCGACUGCGGCAGCGGCGACGUCGCCUGCGACGGCCGCGGGCCCGCCCCGCCCGUCACGCUCGCGGAGAUCACCCUCGCCGCACCCGGCUCCGGCGGCCUCGACUUCUAA
rnacentral:rRNA from 1 species